GUGACAUAGCCGUUUUCUUCGGCCGAGCACUGAAAAGGGGCUGACGGCUGCAUCGCCAUGCCAUUUGUAGCUCAAGAUUUGUAAGCCGCACAAGGUCAUCUCUGCCGCUUCACUUCUGGUUCGCCUCUCUGCUCCUCCCAACGCAUCUAUCUCGUGAUUUCAAUAACUGAAGGGUUGAAGGUCAAGGUCGGCGACCUGUAUGUCCACAAGUUGUCCCAUGGCUGUUCACUGUGGGAUGUGAUCGAGAGGUGAGGCCUCUUUGCCUGUUGAACAGGUGCAGGGCCUCCCGCUUAUUCCUACUUUCUUGCAGUCAAAGGACGGGGUUCGGUGAAACCAGAGCAAACUAAGGAUCCCAGCAAAGAAGGAAGCUAAUAAUGAUGGACAUACCUAGCAUUUUCGGCCCCGGAGAUAGGUCCAUCACUCUCUACGAGGGCAUAAAUCAUCAUCCAGAUCCAGAUUCCAUUUUCAGGAAUAAGACCGUCGCACAGCUGGGAUGUGGCAAUGGUUGGAUAUCCAUUGCGCUUGCAGAAAAAUGGUGCCCUUCCAAGGAUCCCAGCAAAGAAGGAAGCUAAUAAUGAUGGACAUACCUAGCAUUUUCGGCCCCGGAGAUAGGUCCAUCACUCUCUACGAGGGCAUAAAUCAUCAUCCAGAUCCAGAUUCCAUUUUCAGGAAUAAGAUCGUCGCACAGCUGGGAUGUGGCAAUGGUUGGAUAUCCAUUGCGCUUGCAGAAAAAUGGUGCCCUUCCAAGUUAAUUCAAGGAGGACCCUACAUCUAAAGAUCUUGGUUGCAAAAGUAUAUCAGGAAGAUCUUGGUUGCAAAAGUGAUCAGAUAUACUCCUCUGUACCAAAAUAUAAGACGUUUUUCUCAGUUCAAUUGAACUGCAAAAAUAUCUUAUACUUUCGUACGGAGGGAGUAAUAGUCAACACAACCAGGCGGGGGCACAUGCCAUUUUUUCUCCUUCACCAUGGACCCUGAAUUUGCUGAACUCUGGGCGUGUCGAUGGGCUGCUCAGCUUACAUGUGAACUGGACGUGGCAAAGCUUAUCCUGGAGACGAACUCAAAGCUAUGAAAAUUCAUGUAUACUGAUUAUCGAGCAUUAUGGGCAAGGGACGGGGGUACAAGGCAUGGUCUGCGGCGCCGCACCUUGUUGUUCCCUGCCGGUGGCGGGCGAGCUGCAGUGGCGCUUCUCUGUUGCGUGGCGAGGGACGGGGGCGGAAGGUGUGCAUCUGCAGUGCCACUCCUGGGGCAUGCCUCUCCGGCGACAUUGCCGGCGUACACAACAUACCUUACUACACGGGGAUUUCAUCUCUGAACUAAAUAUUACGUCCGAAGACUGAAACAUCCAGAAGAUUUAUUGAGACUAUUCAUUGAUGGUCUUUCUCUACUACACGAGGAAGGCCUGAGGUAGACAAACAUAACAACUGAUGAAAGAAGAACAUAUUUGUACCUUGUUGCCCGCUGACUAUAUGCAUGGUUGAAUUGUAGUAUGUGUGAUACAUGAGAAUAAUGUAAUAUGAAGUGAAACAUGGUGGAUAGGGCUUCGUGAAUGAGCUGGCGGAGAAGAUGUCAGUGGUGGAAGCGGAGAUGUUAUAGAAGAUGUUGCGGGCGGUACCGGAGGAAAUGGCCAAAUGGGGUUCCUCGGAGCCGACAAGAAGGAUGCUGCAGCGGCACAUAUUGGUUUCCAUUUCCAUCCAGAGAAGAACUUAUGAACGAAGAGAUAUCCUAGAAGUUGAGUGCAGUUGGAGGGGCCUCAGUCCUUUUGAGCCAAGAAAAGUAGAUGGGGCAUGUCCAAGCUAUGAAUAGUAGAUGGGAAAGUGUUGAAAUAUUUUGUGUUUCCAUGGUUUGUAAAUGGUAGGAGGUAUAUGUAGUAACCUGUACGGUUUCAAGUGCCAAAUUUCAUGUGUAAAAGUUUGCUAGGGAAUUCUGAUUGUAGAAUCUUGGAAUAAGGGAACAAAAUCCUACAUGUGUCAUAUAUUUAAUUAAUGGAUAAUAACAACAGACAUGCUUUCAUGAGAUGAUUAAUCUUAAGCAUAGAAGGGCAUCCAUGUGCCACCUAUCAUUUGUAAUGCA